UUGACCUCGGAUCAGGUAGGAAUACCCGCUGAACUUAAGCAUAUCAAUAAGCGGAGGAAAAGAAACCAACAGGGAUUGCCCCAGUAACGGCGAGUGAAGCGGCAACAGCUCAAAUUUGAAAUCUGGCCCUUACGGGUCCGAGUUGUAAUUUGUAGAGGAUGCUUUUGGCAAGGCGCCGCCCGAGUUCCCUGGAACGGGACGCCACAGAGGGUGAGAGCCCCGUCUGGCUGGCCGCCGAGCCUCUGUAAAGCUCCUUCGACGAGUCGAGUAGUUUGGGAAUGCUGCUCAAAAUGGGAGGUAUAUGUCUUCUAAAGCUAAAUAUUGGCCAGAGACCGAUAGCGCACAAGUAGAGUGAUCGAAAGAUGAAAAGCACCUUGAAAAGAGGGUUAAAUAGUACGUGAAAUUGUUGAAAGGGAAGCGCUUGUGACCAGACUUGGGCGCGGCGGAUCAUCCGGGGUUCUCCCCGGUGCAUUUCGCCGCGUCCAGGCCAGCAUCAGUUCGUCGCGGGGGAAAAAGGCUUCGGGAACGUGGCUCCCUCGGGGGUGUUAUAGCCCGUUGCGUAAUACCCUGCGGUGGA
rnacentral:rRNA from 1 species